CUACGGGGGGCUCCAGUGGGGAAUAUUGCACAAUGGGCGCAAGCCUGAUUCAGCCAUGCCGCGUGUAUGAAGAAGGCCUUCGGGUUGUAAAGUACUUUCAGCGGGGAGGAAGGGAGUAAAGUUAAUACCUCUGCUCAUUGACGUUACCCGCAGAAGAAGCACCGGCUAACUCCGUGCCAGCAGCCGCGGUAAUACGGAGGGUGCAAGCGUUAAUCGGAAUUACUGGGCGUAAAGCGCACGCAGGCGGUUUGUUAAGUCAGAUGUGAAAUCCCCGGGCUCAACCUGGGAACUGCAUCUGAUACUGGCAAGCUUGAGUCUCGUAGAGGGGGGUAGAAUUCCAGGUGUAGCGGUGAAAUGCGUAGAGAUCUGGAGGAAUACCGGUGGCGAAGGCGGCCCCCUGGACGAAGACUGACGCUCAGGUGCGAAAGCGUGGGGAGCAAACAGGAUUAGAUACCCUUGUAGUC
rnacentral:rRNA from 1 species